CAAAUAUCCUGGUAAUUAUCACUUUGCUCCCUCAUCUUUUAACUAAAUAUUAAGACUUCAUUUACUUUAGGCGACUAUCAAAGACCCCCUAACAUAAUAAUAUAUUUUAAAACAUGUAAUGUUGUAAAUAACGUGAAUAAUAUUUAUAUUAGUGUAAACUAUAUUAAUUAUAAAUCAAUGCAAUCAUUUUUAAUAAUGAAAUUGAUCAUAAACAACUUAUAUCAUUGUUUAUUAUGACAUUAUAAAUCUACAAAUGUUUUGCAAUAUAAAAAUUAGUGAGACCUCUUUAAUUUUUUUCUUUUGCAAAUUUUAUUUAUAUUAGUGUAAACCAUAUUAAUUAUAAAUCAAUGCAAUCAUUUUUAAUAGUGAAAUUGAUCAUAAACAACUUAUAUCAUUGUUUAUUAUGACAAUGUUUUGCAAGUAUCUUUGUUAGCCUUACUAUUAUUAUUGGUAAAUUGAACACAUAUAUGAUAAUUUUAUCAAUAUCACUUUUCUUUUAAUCAAAAUGAGCGUAUGUUCUAAAUAUAACAACAUUUUAUCGUAAUAAACUUUUUAAUAAUUUAUUGAGAAAUGUUGUUAAUUAUCAUUGUAAAUUAUUGUCGACAUUAUAUUAUAAAAGCUAAAUAAUUAAUAAUGUAAUUAUAAUAUUACAUUGUUAUUUAAAAUAAAAUAUUUAUCUCUUUGUAUAUUUAUGGGAGUAGGUUUUUGAGUUAAUAUUCGGUGGACCGUUAGACUUUACCAUAAAGUGCAUCUAUACAGAUUAUCAAACUUUUUUUUAUUUUGAUAUAACACUAAAAGAAUUUUGCUUCAUCUAGGCAGGAAAACUACUGCCUAAAUGAAAACAUAUUUACCCAUUUUCACAAUUUUUAAUUCUAAUAAUUUUUGUAUAUUAUUUAAAUUUUCAUAUUUUAUAUUAUUAUUCUUGAUACUUUUUUUUCAAAAUAACUUUAUUUAUUGUUCAGAAACCUUAAAAGAAAAAUAUAAAAUUUAUUUUUUAAAUUUUCAUCAAAAAACAUAUCUUUUAGGCCUAAGGUUUCGUUUGUAGUAAGGUUUCGUUUGUCGCUUCAUACAUUAAGAUAUAUAUUUUUUAAUCAUUAUUAAUUUUUUUCACGAUUAAUGUUCUUAAUUUUUUUCUUGUCUUGUUAAAGUUUUGUAAUUAACUUAAAUUGUAUAACAUUUUGAAUUGUCAUUUUAUUUUUUUUAUAAGUCUUUUUUUAAUGUUUUAUGCUUCCAAUAUAGAAUGAUUGGCAAGGGAAAAUAUUGCAAAGCAUUUGACGCAGAAACUGCUAUUGGCAUCCUCUCAAGUGGUUGAAUCCAAGUAAGGCUGGUGAGCAGCCCAAGCUUCAGCUGGCUGUCUCCAGAUCAAAGGGGAAAUAGAAAUAAUAAAAUUAGUUUUCUAUAAUCCCUUGGGAUUAUUUUAUCUUUUUUUCUCUAAUGGUGCAUAGUUGAGUAGUGAACAAGAAUUGGCAUUGGUUGUAAAUGAACUUUUUUUUUAAUUUGUUCUCCAAAAGAAAGAUGGUGUAGAAAUAAUUUCUCUUAAAAAUUAUAGCAUUGAAUUUUUCUAUUAGAGAAAAUUAAUUUUAAUAUUUAAUAUAUUUUCUUUUUCCUUGAUUGCAAUGAUUUUCUAAUGUG
rnacentral:lncRNA from 1 species